GUAAGGAAUAUUGGACAAUGGGGGAAACCCUGAUCCAGCCAUGCCGCGUGAGUGAAGAAGGCCUUCGGGUUGUAAAACUCUUUCAGAUGUGAAGAUGAUGACGGUAACAUCAGAAGAAGCUCCGGCUAACUUCGUGCCAGCAGCCGCGGUAAUACGAAGGGAGCGAGCGUUGUUCGGAAUCACUGGGCGUAAAGAGUGCGUAGGCGGUUAUACAAGUCAGGAGUGAAAUCCCAGAGCUUAACUUUGGAAUUGCUUUUGAAACUGUAUAGCUAGAGUCCCGGAGGGGUUAAUGGAAUUCCGAGUGUAGAGGUGAAAUUCGCAGAUAUUCGGAGGAACACCAGUGGCGAAGGCGAUUAACUGGACGGGCACUGACGCUGAGGCACGAAAGCGUGGGGAUCAAACAGGAUUAGAAACCCGGGUAGUCC
rnacentral:rRNA from 1 species